GAGAGUUUGGCCGAGUGGUUAAGGCGUCAGAUUUAGGUCCUCUGAUAUCUACGGAUGCAAGGGUUCGAAUCCCUUAGCUCUCA
rnacentral:tRNA from 1 species